AACCUAGUGGCGGAAGGGUGAGUAAUGCAUGGGCAAUCUACCCUCAAGUUGGGAAUACCUCCGCGAAAGGGGAGUUAAUACCGAAUAUGAUCUCCCGGCGCAUGCCGGGGUGUUCAAAGGCGGGGACCUUCGGGCCUGCCGCUUGGGGAUGAGCCCGUGUCCUAUCAGCUUGUUGGUGAGGUAAUGGCUCACCAAGGCUUACGGGUAGCUGGUCUGAGAGGAUGGUCAGCCACACUGGGACUGAGACACUGCCCAGACUCCUACGGGAGGCUGCAGUCGAGAAUCAUUGUCAAUGCGCGAAAGCGUGAACAUGCGACGCCGCGUGGAGGAUGAAGGCCUUCGGGUUGUAAACUCCUGUAGUCAGGGAGCAAUCGUCGGUGGGUGAAUACCCCAUCGGCCUGAUCGUACCUGAACAGUAAGCCACGGCUAACUCUGUGCCAGCAGCCGCGGUAAUACAGAGGUGGCAAGCGUUGUUCGGAUUUACUGGGCGUAAAGGGUGCGUAGGCGGUUGCGUGUGUCGGAUGUGAAAUCUCACUGUUCAUCGGUGAAACUGCAUUCGAAACUACGUAACUCGAGUACUGGAGAGGAGAGCGGAAUUCUUGGUGUAGCGGUGAAAUGCGUUGAGAUCAAGAAGAACGCCGGUGGCGAAGGCGGCUCUCUGGACAGAAACUGACGCUGAGGCACGAAAGCUAGGGGAGCAAACAGGAUUAGAUACCCUGGUAGUCCUAGCCGUAAACGUUGUGCACUUGGUGUGGGAGGAGUUUACCCCUUCCGUGCCGUAGCUAACGUGUUAAGUGCACCGCCUGGGGAGUACGGCCGCAAGGCUAAAACUCAAAGAAAUUGACGGGGGCCCGCACAAGCGGUGGAGCAUGUGGCUUAAUUCGAUGCAACGCGAAGAACCUUACCUGGGCUUGACAUGGCGAGACUUCGGUCUAAACCGGUGAAAGUCGGUUGAACGCACACAGGUGCUGCAUGGCUGUCGUCAGCUCGUGCCGUGAGGUGUUGGGUUAAGU
rnacentral:rRNA from 1 species